AGAGUUUGAUCCUGGCUCAGGGAGUUUGAUCCUGGCUUAGAGUUUGAUCCUGGCUCAGAUUGAACGCUGGCGGCAGGCUUAACACAUGCAAGUCGAGCGGAGAGAGGUAGCUUGCUACUGAUCUUAGCGGCGGACGGGUGAGUAAUGCUUAGGAAUCUGCCUAUUAGUGGGGGACAACAUCUCGAAAGGGAUGCUAAUACCGCAUACGUCCUACGGGAGAAAGCAGGGGAUCUUCGGACCUUGCGCUAAUAGAUGAGCCUAAGUCGGAUUAGCUAGUUGGUGGGGUAAAGGCCUACCAAGGCGACGAUCUGUAGCGGGUCUGAGAGGAUGAUCCGCCACACUGGGACUGAGACACGGCCCAGACUCCUACGGGAGGCAGCAGUGGGGAAUAUUGGACAAUGGGGGGAACCCUGAUCCAGCCAUGCCGCGUGUGUGAAGAAGGCCUUAUGGUUGUAAAGCACUUUAAGCGAGGAGGAGGCUACUUUAGUUAAUACCUAGAGAUAGUGGACGUUACUCGCAGAAUAAGCACCGGCUAACUCUGUGCCAGCAGCCGCGGUAAUACAGAGGGUGCAAGCGUUAAUCGGAUUUACUGGGCGUAAAGCGCGCGUAGGCGGCUAAUUAAGUCAAAUGUGAAAUCCCCGAGCUUAACUUGGGAAUUGCAUUCGAUACUGGUUAGCUAGAGUGUGGGAGAGGAUGGUAGAAUUCCAGGUGUAGCGGUGAAAUGCGUAGAGAUCUGGAGGAAUACCGAUGGCGAAGGCAGCCAUCUGGCCUAACACUGACGCUGAGGUGCGAAAGCAUGGGGAGCAAACAGGAUUAGAUACCCUGGUAGUCCAUGCCGUAAACGAUGUCUACUAGCCGUUGGGGCCUUUGAGGCUUUAGUGGCGCAGCUAACGCGAUAAGUAGACCGCCUGGGGAGUACGGUCGCAAGACUAAAACUCAAAUGAAUUGACGGGGGCCCGCACAAGCGGUGGAGCAUGUGGUUUAAUUCGAUGCAACGCGAAGAACCUUACCUGGCCUUGACAUAGUAAGAACUUUCCAGAGAUGGAUUGGUGCCUUCGGGAACUUACAUACAGGUGCUGCAUGGCUGUCGUCAGCUCGUGUCGUGAGAUGUUGGGUUAAGUCCCGCAACGAGCGCAACCCUUUUCCUUAUUUGCCAGCGAGUAAUGUCGGGAACUUUAAGGAUACUGCCAGUGACAAACUGGAGGAAGGCGGGGACGACGUCAAGUCAUCAUGGCCCUUACGGCCAGGGCUACACACGUGCUACAAUGGUCGGUACAAAGGGUUGCUACACAGCGAUGUGAUGCUAAUCUCAAAAAGCCGAUCGUAGUCCGGAUUGGAGUCUGCAACUCGACUCCAUGAAGUCGGAAUCGCUAGUAAUCGCGGAUCAGAAUGCCGCGGUGAAUACGUUCCCGGGCCUUGUACACACCGCCCGUCACACCAUGGGAGUUUGUUGCACCAGAAGUAGCUAGCCUAACUGCAAAGAGGGCGGUUACCACGGUGUGGCCGAUGACUGGGGUGAAGUCGUAACAAGGUAACC
rnacentral:rRNA from 1 species